AUCCAGCUGCCGAGUUCCAAAUAGGACGAAAUGCGCAUCCUGGU
rnacentral:hammerhead_ribozyme from 1 species